AAACGAAGCACUCCUCUCCGGGAUUUUCUUCCCUUGGCUUCAUUCAGAUUUAGCGAUGAAGGCUUUAAAGAGACAGCAGCACCCGGGCUGGGCGUGCACCCCAGGGUGCUGAGCAUCCCACUGCCCCCUGUCCCUGCAGAGCUGUGCCACGUCCUGCUGUGAAACCAGAGUGACGUGACCGUCCCCAAAUGGCCUGUGCCCCGGUGUCACUUGCUGGGUGACACUGGCCCCAGGGAGGUGCUCUGCCUGCACGGUGAGGUGCUGGGGGUGCAGCGUGUGGCCCUGCUCAGUGCGGGGAUGGGGACAGCUUGGGGACAGCAUUAUGGUGCCGCAAGCUGCUGGCCCUGCUGCAGCACACUGGGGCACGGCAUGGGGUUGCUGGGUGUCCCGCACAGUGCUGGGGGGGGUGCUGGGGUAUGGGGCACCCAAAUGCAACGUGUCACUUCUGGUGUCACCGGGGGGCAGUGGCUGGGCUGUGUCACCUGCAGCCCACACUGGUGGGUGUUGGUGCCCGUGGGUGCUGCCCUGCCACGGGAGGGCAGAAUGAACCCUGGGUGGGAGCGCUGGGGAUGAUGCACCUCUCUGUUUCGUAUGCUGAGAUGGGGCCUGGGGUGCCGGGCAGCUGGAGGCAAAGGGCGGGGGGAGCACGGAGGGGUGGGAUGGGACGGGGGACACCGGGGCGAUCCUUACGGGGUCCCCAGCCCGGCGUGGGGCGGAGCGGGUCACACUGAACCUGGGCAGGGGGUGGGCACACGGGGUGUUUGUGUGCGUGCAGGGGAUGCGCCGGGGCAGCCCCGGCUCUGUUUUGGCGGAGCUGGGCUCCCUCCCUCCUUUGUUAUCCUCCGUCUGCCCCCUCCGCUCUGUGUGUGUGUGCGCGCUCGAGUUCUUUCUCCGAUUGUCAGAAUUUUCUUUUCCACUGUGUGGGCAGGAGACAGAUUUUAACUGUCUCUAUUUUCUCCUCGGUAUUUUUUUUUUUUUUUUUUUCAAAUUUCGCUUUCUCCCCCCCCUCCCCCUUUCCCUCUCGCCUUUCUCCCUUCCCCUCUCCGCCGUCUCUCCUCCCUCUCUCCCUCCGCACCGCCGAUGCCUCGGGCAUAGCACGCAGCCGGAGCCAGCCAUGCCUCCCGCCCCAGGGGUGCUGUGACUCCGUGUGCCGUGAAUGUGAUGCUUGCGUGACGGUUUAAUUGCCUUUGCGGCUCCGUUAAGCGGUGACACACGUUGUGGCGCGUGAGUCACCUUGGCGAAGGCGCCGCGGGAAGCGAGAACUUCUCCUCCUUGGUUUUGCCAGGUUAAGCCCUUGUUUGUUACUUCUGUUGUCGGGUUUGUUGGCAGUGGGGGGGUUCUACCUCACGGGAUGCUUUCCUCCCCCAGUCUGUGUGCCCGUCCUCCCCGGCCCCACUGCACAGCUUUAUGUAAGCCAGAGCUUACCAGGGAAGCCGUAGAGUGCAGGCUUCACGCCUCCUUGCUCUCCCCUCCAUUUACUUUAAGCACUCUCUGUGCCCAUGUUCCCAUCUGCUCCAGGUGCUGCAGGGAGCUGUGCCCUGCCAGCAGUGCUCCUGGGAGACCGCUCUAUUUAUU
rnacentral:lncRNA from 1 species